CCACCUACGGGACGCAGCAGUGGGGAAUAUUGCACAAUGGGGGAAACCCUGAUGCAGCAACGCCGCGUGAGUGAAGAAGUCAUUCGUGAUGUAAAGCUCUAUCAGCAGGGAAGAAAAUGACGGUACCUGAGUAAGAAGCCCCGGCUAACUACGUGCCAGCAGCCGCGGUAAUACGUAGGGGGCAGGCGUUAUCCGGAUUUACUGGGUGUAAAGGGAGCGUAGACGGUGUGGCAAGUCUGAAGUGAAAGCCCGGGGCUCAGCCCCGGGACUGCUUUGGAAACUGUCAUGCUGGAGUGCUGGAGAGG
rnacentral:rRNA from 1 species